CAACAUUAAAGACAUUCAUUCAGUUCUGGAAGUGACAGUUUACGAUGAGGACCGGGAUCGAAGUGCAGAUUUCCUGGGCAAAGUUGCCAUACCUUUGCUAAAUAUUCAAAAUGGUGAACAGAAAGCCUACGUUUUGAAAAACAAGAAUCUGACAGGGGCAACAAAGGGGGUCAUCUAUCUUGAAAUGGAUGUGAUUUUUAAUGUUAUAAGAGCAAGCAUCAGAACAAUCACUCCCAAAGAAGGGAAAUACAUUGAAGAUGAACAGAAAAUCUCAAAAGAGCUCCUCCAGAAAAACUACUACCGUGUGAGGCGCUGCAUCAUGGUACUGGUAAAUACUGGUCGCUACAUUAACAGCUGCUUUGAAUGGGAAUCACCACAGAGGAGUCUCACUGCUUUCCUG